AUAUGUGGUUUGGUAGUAUGUAUACUAAAAUUGGAACAAUAUAAAGAUUAGGAAGGCCUCUGCAGAAAGAUAACAGUGAAAUUCAUAAGAUGCUCAUAUUUUAG